UACGUAGGUGGCAAGCGUUGUCCGGAAUUAUUGGGCGUAAAGCGCGCGCAGGCGGUUUCUUAAGUCUGAUGUGAAAGCCCACGGCUCAGCCGUGGAGGGUCAUUGGAAACUGGGAGACUUGAGUGCAGAAGAGAAGAGCGGAAUUCCACGUGUAGCGGUGAAAUGCGUAGAGAUGUGGAGGAACACCAGUGGCGAAGGCGGCUCUUUGGUCUGUAACUGACGCUGAGGCGCGAAAGCGUGGGGAUCAAACAGG
rnacentral:rRNA from 1 species